rnacentral:rRNA from 1 species
UACGGAGGGUGCAAGCGUUAUCCGGAUUCACUGGGUUUAAAGGGUGCGUAGGAGGGCAGGUAAGUCCGUGGUGAAAUCUCUGAGCUUAACUCAGAAACUUCCGUGGAUACUACCGGUCUUGAAUAUCGUGGAGGUGAGCGGAAUAUGUCAUGUAGCGGUGAAAUGCUUAGAUAUGACAUAGAACACCAAUUGCGAAGGCAGCUCACUACCCGAAUAUUGACUCUGAGGCACGAAAGCGUGGGGAUCAAACAGG